UAAGGGUCGUCCAUAUGACAGCUUUCGUCUUUUCCCAGUAUAUUUUUUAUAAGAAAAGACCACUUUUUUUUCCCCAAUAUAUGGAUUUUACAUUAUUGUUAAUUAGUGACUUGACUCAUGGUUUUGAAUUGAAAACGUUAAACUGCUGAUUAAUGACAUCUUGCUUAUGGUUAUCAACAGUUGGUUAUUUUCUGCUGGAUUUUAUAUUGCAUUCUUGUUAUUUUAUUUACUCGUGCUCUGUUAGCUUUCUUGCAUUCCUGUUGCUUUAUAAUGCAUUAUGCGUUCCUGCUAUGUUAAUUUUCUUGCAUUUUUUACAUGACAGCCUUGAUUUCUCAAUUAUUUUGAUUCCAAGUUCCACUUUCCUGCUAUUUCAUCUUUCUUCUUUAUUUCUUCAAAUACCAAAACAAAAAAUAUUUUUAGUAUUACUUCUUUAAAUAAUUAUGCACACAAAUGAGCACAUACUUCCGAUCAUCAUCUUUAGACUUUAGUUCUUUAAUCCACAUGCUCUUACAAAAAUUUUAUCCUGGCUCUCUUAAAUACUUUUUGUUUGCAUGAUGUGAAUGUUAUUUAUCACUGAAUAUUGCUUUUUUCAACUUAGUGGUUUUCCACAUUUAGUUGUUAUGAUUUAGGCGGCCGUUAUUUUCUGGGAGCAACAUCUGCUGUUUAUUUCCCUCAGGUUUGGUUUAUGAGACUGGAGAUACUUUUUUCAUGAUUAUUUUGGAUAAAUCACAUAAUCAAUAACAUGUACGGUGUUGCCAAAGGUGAUGUAUUAUUUCCCAUUUUUGAUAUAACAGGAGAUACAAAAAUUGUAUCCAAUCUACACCUCCCAGACCACCAUCAGCGUACUUUUAGGAGAUACAAAAAUUGUGUGCUUUCCCAACCUUCCACAACCCCCCCCCCCCAAAAA